GUGGGGGGCGCGGGGGGUGGCGCGGUCUGUCCACCCGCCCUCGCCCUCGUCCUCCUCAGUCGGCUCCGCUCGCAGUCAGGUUCUCCAAAUACUCCUCUGGGUCUGGGAGCCCCCACCUCUGCAGCGGCGGAGGAAAGGAGCCGCUUUUAGAGGCUUCUGGGGAUGGGGAAGGAGAAUGGCCAUCAGCCCCAAGAGGACCCCAAAGACUGGUCUGGCCUUGGCUUUGGGGCCCCGCCUUGGGGCCGCGGCCCUUCCCCGCGGCGGGAUUGUGCGCGCACAGCCUCGCUCGGAGGCCUCCCGGCGAAAAUGAAGAUAGCAGCGCUGAUGGUGUGGAGAUGCGUCCACCGAUGCGCAGGAGAUUCCCGGUCUCAGCGCUCCUCCUGCGUCCUUUGAUGCGCCAAGACAAGUCUAGGUGCAGAGGCGUCACCAAGGCCUCGUUCCCCAGAAUCCGAUGACUAAUCAUCAGCGAGUGGAUCAAAGCCUGGACAGAACACGUGAACACCUCUCUCUGUCUCCUGCGUUGCAAAUGUCCACACUGUCUUCUGGAACUUUUCCUUUGGCUUGGACCAAAGUUCGGGUCAUUGCAUGGAGCGUGGCAGCGGCGAUGGUGCUGGGCUCUGGCUGUGCGCAGGUCAUCUCGCCACACCCUCCCUCGCCACUGCAGAGAAGCCUUCUGGAAUAGUUUUCCUGGACACAGAUGAGUGAAUACAAUUGACCCCACCAGAUCUUCCUGCAGGCUGGAGCGCCCUGGGGCAGGCACCUUGUGCUGCUCCGGGUCCUGGAACCUAGUCAGUGCCUGGCCCCCGGCAAUAAAGAUGGCUUUUUGAAUGACCGAGAGUGUGUG
rnacentral:lncRNA from 12 species